rnacentral:rRNA from 1 species
CAGCCCUAAACGAUGCGCGUUAGGUGUAUCGGUGACCACGAGUCACCGAGGUGCCGAAGGGAAACCGUGAAACGUGCCGCCUGGGAAGUACGGUCGCAAGGCUGAAACUUAAAGGAAUUGGCGGGGGAGCACCACAACGGGUGGGAGCCUGCGGUUUAAAUUGGACUCAACGCCGGGAAGCUCACCGGAUAAGACAGCGGAAUGAUUGCCGGGCUGAAAGACCCUGCAUGACCAGCUGAGAGGUGGUGCAU